rnacentral:rRNA from 1 species
UGGGGAAUUUUGGACAAUGGACGCAAGUCUGAUCCAGCCAUGCCGCGUGCGGGAAGAAGGCCUUCGGGUUGUAAACCGCUUUUGUCAGGGAAGAAACGAGUUUCUCUAAUACAGAGACUUAAUGACGGUACCUGAAGAAUAAGCACCGGCUAACUACGUGCCAGCAGCCGCGGUAAUACGUAGGGUGCAAGCGUUAAUCGGAAUUACUGGGCGUAAAGCGUGCGCAGGCGGUUAUAUAAGACAGAUGUGAAAUCCCCGGGCUCAACCUGGGACCUGCAUUUGUGACUGCAUAGCUAGAAUACGGCAGAGGGGGAUGGAAUUCCGCGUGUAGCAGUGAAAUGCGUAGAUAUGCGGAGGAACACCGAUGGCGAAGGCAAUCCCCUGGACCUGUACUGACGCUCAUGCACGAAAGCGUGGGGAGCAAACA